rnacentral:lncRNA from 1 species
UUUUAAACAAAUAUAUCUUUUAUGAAAAAAUUCUUAAUGCCUGGACGGACAUUUGUGGCUUUUACUGCAAAUACUGGAAAGAGUAAAAACUCAAAGUCAGUUGCCCAAGCUUCCAACUUACAAACCUGGGCAGAGAAAAGUGAGAAAAGCCUGAAAGAAUCAAGAAGAUGAAAUUACAAAAAUUAAUAAAACAGGAGGAAAGAUAAAUGGAGAGAAAACAUUAAAAAGUUGUUUUGUUUUUAUGUUUGGUUUUUAAGAAUCAAAUUGAAAGAUACAUGGUAAAACUUAUGAAGAAAUUGGUUUUUUUGGGGGGGGUUUGGUUUGGGAUUUUUUGGGUUUUUUUUUUUUUUUCUGUUUGUUUGUUUGUGUCUUUUGAGAGAAGGUUUCUCUGUGUAGCCUUGGCUAUCCUGGACUCACUUUGUAGACCAGGCUGGCCUGAACUCACAGAGAUCUUUUUGCCUCUGCCUCCCAAAUGCUAGGAUUAAAGAUAUGCGCCACCAUGCUCAGCUGAAUAAUUUGUUUUUAAAGAAAAAACCAAAAACAAGUCAGGCAUGGUGGCGCAUGCUUUGAAUCCCAGCACUCUGGAGGCAGAGACAGGCGGAUUUCUGAGUUCAAGGACAGCCUGCUCUACAAAGUGAGUUCCAGGACAGCCAGGGCUAUGCAGAGAAACCCUGUCUUGAAAAGCCAAACCAACCAACCAAACAAACAAACAAACAAAAACCAAAUUUACUGAUAUCUGAAUAGAAAUUGAGACAUUAACACAGAUCCUUCAGACAUUAGUGGGCAAGAUGGGCUCUCACAAUCAAUUGUAUGCCAGCCAAUUUUGCAAUACUGAUGAAAGUGUUUCUUAGAAAACUGUAAUGUAAUGAAACUAAAAUAAGAAUGAGCAAUGUCUGUGGAAGAAAUGAAAGCUUAGUAAGAAGCCUUUCUCUAGGGGACACUAGGCCUGCGUGGCUUCACUAAUGACUGACUCCCAACAUAAAAAGUUUUAGAACCAAUCUCAUAUGAAGUUCUUGUAUAGAACAGAUAUGAAGAAAACGCUUCAUCUCAUGAAGCCAGGAAAACCAUGAUGCCAAAGUAUUCUAUAAAAAGAAAGAAAUUAUACAACCGUAUCCUUCAUGGCUGCAGAAACUGAAAUUCUAAUCCAGUACUCAGGCUGAGCCUGGGUAGAUACGACAGACACCAUUGCACAGACAGGGGAGUGUCUGCUGAGAGUUCAGGUGUGUACAGCUACACAGCUAACAUUUAACACUUGACAAGCAAUCACUGUAAUCUCUCAUAUUGACAGCACAAAGAAAAACGACCAGAUGAACAUAGAACAGAUGUAGGAAGAUGUGGGAAAUUUCAAGGCCCAGUCAUGAUUUCUAAGACAUUUUCUACAGAGCAGAAGCAGGGGAGAGUGCCCUGGUUCUGUACAGGACAUAAGCAGCCCAGUGCACGUCACCAGGCCUAGCAGAAAAAUGUCAGACAUCGUCCCUAAGAUCAGGAACAACUCAGAGAUCUGAGAAGGAAGGAGGGAAAGGAUGAGUCACAUAGACCACAAACAGCAAUCAUAGCUGUUUAUCAACUCACAAAACAGGAUUGUAGUAGAUUUCCCGUUAUAGGUGUAUCUAGUAGGAGUUCGUGUCCCCGUGCUGUUUACUUGAAUUUUCCCACAAUCUAAGGCUGUCACAACUAAGAAGUGCUGCUGUCAGAACCAAGUAAGGACAUGCCAUCUGUAGAGAUAGCCUCCCCACACAGCCCAGUUCUCUGAGCAGUCCAGCAAAGGCUGCAGUGCCAAAGGAAGCAGGGAGCCUGGGGCUUUCGGCUGGAUGCUGCAUUUUUACAGAUUUUUUCUUGUGGGUAGAGAUGGUGCUCAGGGCCUCACAUGUGCUCAACAUGUGCUCUGCACUGGACUCCCCACCCUCAGCUGCCUGCUUGGUUUUUCUCUCCCUUCUAAUCUUUUGUUCUUCCAUUUUCAACACAUACACAUAGAUGCAGACAUUGUUGCUGGCUUGGGAUUCAGAUGUGCAGGGUCUCAUUGGCCCCUACAAUGUGGUUUC